rnacentral:rRNA from 1 species
UACAGAGGGUGCGAGCGUUGUUCGGAAUUACUGGGCGUAAAGCGCGCGCAGGCGGCCUUUUAAGUCUCGUGGUGAAAUGCCGGGGCUCAACCCCGUGCCCGCCGGAGAUACUGGGAGGCUGGAGACAUGUAGAGGCAAGCGGAAUUCCGGGUGUAGCGGUGGAAUGCGUAGAGAUCCGGAAGAACCCCGGAGGCGAAGGCGGCUUGCUGGGCAUUGUCUGACGCUGAGGCGCGAAAGCGUGGGGAGCGAACAGG